rfam:Triticum aestivum genome assembly, contig: Triticum_aestivum_CS42_TGACv1_scaffold_558293_7AL
GUAGUACUCCCUCCGUCCCAAAACUCUUGUCUUAAAUUUGUAUACAUACGGAUGUACCUAAUACUAAAACAUGAAUUGAUACAUCCGUAUUUAGACAAAUCUAAGACAAGAAUUUUGGGACGGAGGGAGUAUAUA